rnacentral:lncRNA from 1 species
AAAACAGUGUGUUGUUCUACAUUCCAAAUUGCCUAACAACUGACGACUGACUGGGUUUCUUCCGAUCUAAUUGACUGGAUGUCACACGGCUGUGGUGACACAGACCAGCACGCCCAGAGGCUCUUAAGGGGUUUCUUACAGAUCCAGUGGGAGAAACGCCAAGAAGACGCCACAAUUCCAGUGAAGGGUAAAGGAGACACUCAUCCUCUGGGGUACCCAAGGGCCAAGUAGUGAGGAAGCCUCCAGUCUUUGAGAUUCUCUGGGCUUGUUCUGUUGUUGAGCUGCCUGAAGGAGCACCCUAGCCUUCUUGUCACCCACUCUAGUCUUGAUCACGCCCUCCCUCAGGGGCACUUGACUGGACUUCCUCCUUGUGCAGCCCCUAUUAUGAUGUCAUCUCCUCAGCCUCAACCACUUCUGCCAGAAAAGACUACACAAGUUCCCCAAAUAUCUAUAGAGUCAGAUAAGGGGAGGCUGACAUGAGCUG